AGCGAACGCUGGCGGCAGGCUUAACACAUGCAAGUCGAGCGGGCCUUUCGGGGUCAGCGGCGGACGGGUGAGUAACGCGUGGGAACGUGCCCUCUGGUUCGGAAUAACUCAGUGAAACUUGAGCUAAUACCGGAUACGCCCUUUUGGGGAAAGGCUUGCUGCCGGAGGAUCGUCCCGCGUCUGAUUAGCUAGUUGGUGAGGUAACGGCUCACCAAGGCGACGAUCAGUAGCUGGUCUGAGAGGAUGAUCAGCCACACUGGGAAUGAGACACGGCCGAGACUACUACGGGAGGCAGCAGUGGGGAAUAUUGGACAAUGGGCGAAAGCCUGAUCCAGCCAUGCCGCGUGAGUGAUGAAGGCCUUAGGGUUGUAAAGCUCUUUUAUACGGGACGAUAAUGACGGUAACGGAGGAAUAAGCCCCGGCUAACUUCGUG
rnacentral:rRNA from 1 species